AAAAAUCUAUUUCAUAGUUAAUGCUUUAAUUGCUACAACUAGUUGUCUAAUGUAUUAAUUAGCUAUCUUAUCAUGCUUUAUGACUUACUAACACUAACAUAAAUAUUCAUAACCCUAACAUCAAUAACUUCAUGAAUCCCAACAUACGGAGGAUUUAUGAAUGAAAAUAAGAGAUACAAAGAAAAGUCUUAAAUUACAUCUUGAAGUGCUAGCUUUACGACUUUCGACUUAUGCAAGACUUCGUUUUCCUUCUCUCAAGAAUACUAGAUCUAAUUAUAGUUUUCUCUCUUAUGAUUCUCACUUUUCUUUCACUCUUGCUUUAUGAAUUAGUAAAGGAACUAAUGAAGGAUGAAGGAUGAAGGUUCUAUUUAUAAGCAAAUAAAACUUAGCCCCCAAGUUGCCGAGCCUUGGCCCCUAAGUACACUUAGCCCCCAAAUUGUCAAGUCUUAGUCCCUAAGUAAACUUAUCCCUUAAGUAAACUUAGCGUCCAAGUAAACUUAGCCCAUAAAUAAACUUGGCCCCAAGUAUUGGUCCAACCAUUUGAUUACUCCAAACUUAAUUUACUUUCUAGUUUGUUUUUGUAACUAAUUUAGUUAGCCGUAAUCGUUGACUUUUUCUCCAAGUUUGACCUUUUAUAUUUGUGAAUAAUAAUUUCAUAUUUAUACGUCGUAUAAAUACUUAGGUCUAAUACGUCCUACCGUAUAAUUAAAUAGUUAUUUACAUGUAUUUUCUAUACUUA
rnacentral:lncRNA from 1 species